rnacentral:rRNA from 1 species
UACGUAGGGGGCUAGCGUUGUCCGGAAUCAUUGGGCGUAAAGCGCGUGUAGGCGGCCCGGUAAGUCCGCUGUGAAAGUCGGGGGCUCAACCCUCGGAUGCCGGUGGAUACUGUCGGGCUUGAGUACGGAAGAGGCGAGUGGAAUUCCUGGUGUAGCGGUGAAAUGCGCAGAUAUCUGGAGGAACACCGGUGGCGAAGGCGGCAUCCUGGACCGACACUGACACUGAGGAGCGAAAGCCAGGGGAGCAAACGGG